rnacentral:rRNA from 1 species
UACGGAGGGUGCAAGCGUUAUCCGGAAUCAUUGGGUUUAAAGGGUCCGUAGGCGGGUUUAUAAGUCAGUGGUGAAAGUUUGCGGCUUAACCGUAAAAUUGCCAUUGAUACUGUAGGCCUUGAAUCAUUGUGAAGUGGUUAGAAUAAGUAGUGUAGCGGUGAAAUGCAUAGAUAUUACUUAGAAUACCGAUUGCGAAGGCAGAUCACUAACAAUGCAUUGACGCUGAGGGACGAAAGCGUGGGUAGCGAACAGG